rnacentral:rRNA from 1 species
AACGAACGCUGGCGGCAGGCUUAACACAUGCAAGUCGAACGCCCCGCAAGGGGAGUGGCAGACGGGUGAGUAACACGUGGGGAUCUGCCCAAUGGUACGGAAUAAUUCCGGGAAACUGGGACUAAUACCGUAUGUGCCCGCAAGGGGAAAGAUUUAUCGCCAUUGGAUGAACCCGCGUCGGAUUAGCUAGUUGGUGAGGUAAAGGCUCACCAAGGCGACGAUCCGUAGCUGGUCUGAGAGGAUGAUCAGCCACACUGGGACUGAGACACGGCCCAGACUCCUACGGGAGGCAGCAGUGGGGAAUAUUGGACAAUGGGCGCAAGCCUGAUCCAGCCAUGCCGCGUGAGUGAUGGAGGCCUUAGGGUUGUAAAGCUCUUUCGCCGACGAAGAUAAUGACGGUAGUCGGAGAAGAAGCCCCGGCUAACUUCGUGCCAGCCGCCGCCGUAAUAC